CACGUAGGGGGCAAGCGUUGUCCGGAUUCAUUGGGCGUAAAGAGCUCGUAGGCGGUUCGAUAAGUCGGGUGUGAAACCUCCAGGCUCAACCUGGAGACGCCACCCGAUACUGUCGUGACUAGAGUCCAGUAGGGGAGCGUGGAAUUCCUGGUGUAGCGGUGAAAUGCGCAGAUAUCGGGAGGAACACCUGUGGCGAAAGCGGCGCACUGGACCACAUCUGACGCUGAGGCGCGAAAAGCUAGGGGGAGCAAACAGG
rnacentral:rRNA from 1 species